CGGAAGUAGCUCAGUUGGCAGAGCGACAGCCUUCCAAGCUGUAGGUCGCGAGUUCGACCCUCGUCUUCC
rnacentral:ncRNA from 12 species